rnacentral:rRNA from 1 species
GAUAACCAGUCGAAAGAUUGGCUAAUACCGGAUAAGCCCACGGUCUCUUCGGAGACUGAGGGAAAAGGUGGCCUCUGUAUACAAGCUAUCACAACCAGAUGAGUCCGCGGCCCAUCAGCUNGUUGGCGGGGUNAUGGCCCACCAAGGCAACGACGGGUAGCUGGUCUGAGAGGACGAUCAGCCACACUGGAACUGAGACACGGUCCAGACUCCUACGGGAGGCAGCAGUGGGGAAUUUUGCGCAAUGGGCGAAAGCCUGACGCAGCAACGCCGCGUGUGUGAUGAAGGUCUUUGGAUUGUAAAGCACUUUCGACCGGGACGAAACCGUAAAGCCUAAUACGCUUUGCCUUGACGGUACCGGGAGAAGAAGCACCGGCUAACUCUGUGCCAGCAGCCGCGGUAAUACAGAGGGUGCAAGCGUUGUUCGGAAUUAUUGGGCGUAAAGCGCGUGUAGGCGGCUUUGCAAGUCGGGUGUGAAAGCCCUCAGCUCAACUGAGGAAGUGCGCCCGAAACUGCAGAGCUUGAGUGCCGGAGAGGGUGGCGGAAUUNCCCAAGUAGAGGUGAAAUUCGUAGAUAUGGGGAGGAACACCGGUGGCGAAAGCGGCCACCUNGACNGUAACUGACGCUGAGACGCGAAAGCGUGGGUAGCAAACAGGGUUAAAUACCUUGGUANUNCCCGCCGGAAACGAUGAAAACUANGNGUCGNGGGANUUGACCCCCC